rnacentral:tRNA from 1 species
GGCCCUGUAGCUCAAUCCGGCAGAGCAGCUGACUCUUAAUCAGUUGGUUAGAGGUUCGAGUCCUCUCAGGGUCA